CGUUAGUCAAUGAGAUUCAGUUCAAGUCAGAAAAAUUAAAGUAAACAAAAAACUAUUGGUGUUUAUCAUUUCAGGGUAACUUCUUCAAAACGUUUGGUCUACAAUGUCAAUAGUAUGUAUAACCACCAUUCAACAGCUGAUUAUAUUGUCUUCCGAUAGCACUUCCUCAAUGUCACAGUUAAGGUUGUUCCUCGCGGUUUCAAUUGGUUUAAGAGCCAAUCGCAUAGUCCUUGGCCGGUACCGAUGAAAUUGAAACGAACUUAUGUUUUGCUCGGGAGUUCCAUUUCAGGUUUUGCGCCAUUCUGUUUGAAGUAGGUUCGGGUUGUUGUUGUUGUAAUCGAUGUCCAGGCUUUCUGUUAUGUUAAGUACGGAACUUAAGGCGGGGUAUUAUAAUUCCACCCCGAUGGAUGGGAAUUUGGAGUGUUUAUUGAUGCCGAUCUAAACACUUCGCAUUCAGUUCAAUAUUCAUAAAUUAGAAAUAAAACACAAAAACUGCUAUUUAAGUAGAUACAUAAAAUAUGAACCAAUGUUAGCUGAAAGUAUACCACAAGUUCCCAUUGUAGAAUAAUUGAAAUUUG